rnacentral:rRNA from 1 species
UACGGAGGGUGCAAGCGUUAUCCGGAUUCACUGGGUUUAAAGGGUGCGUAGGUGGGCAGGUAAGUCAGUGGUGAAAUCUCCGGGCUUAACCCGGAAACUGCCAUUGAUACUAUCUGUCUUGAAUACCGUGGAGGUGAGCGGAAUAUGUCAUGUAGCGGUGAAAUGCUUAGAUAUGACAUAGAACACCAAUUGCGAAGGCAGCUCACUACACGAAUAUUGACACUGAGGCACGAAAGCCAGGGGAGCAAACGGG